CGAACUCGGACAAUCACAAUCACUGGCCACAGGACAAGAGGAGAAAAGAUUUAUUUAGCUGAGCUUCAAUGGCGAUGCACAACCAUCAAGAAACUAACGAGGAGAGACAGCGGUUCAGGCUGAUGAAAGUACAAGUCCCAGUGAGGACCUUAAUUUAGUUGAGAGUGGGAAAAAAACCCUUACCUAAGAAGACAAGAGUUGUUGCUUAACAGUGGACUUGAUGAGAGUCUCAUUGACACAUGCAUUGAGAAUGCUGGAGAAUUACUUAGAUCAAAUUUUGGCAGAGAAGUUUAGUAUGAGAUUCCAAGGGGGGGUAUGAUGACAUUCUCCGCCCAACUUCAGAUGACAAGCUGAACACCUUGCAUGAAGCUGUAGCAUCUGUUGCAGCAGAGGCUAAAAUCUGAAGAAUCAGAAGAGGAGCACAUCCUUGAAAAUUUCCAUUUCAGCCGCACCAUUAGGAAAUUGGUCUUCGACUGUCCCAUCUUUGCUUCCACUUUAUGGAAGAAAGCUCUGAAAGGGAAGUGUGAAGUGUGGUCUAUGCUUUGUGCUUGCUUUAAUUAAGAGUAAGAAAAAUAAAUGUGAUUUUGAUACUAUAUAUCGGCUCAAAUUGCUGUUGUUGCACUUGCAAGGUAGCCAGGCUUUCUUGGAAUACUCCGAUUUUAAGGUCCUUGAGUUAGCAAAAGAGGAGUUGCAACCUUUGCUAGAUAGUGGCAUUCUCAAAAUGCCUAAGACAAGAAAGCUGUAUAUGAAGGAUAGGGUGCUGAAUCCCAUGUUGUGGAAAGAGCAGGAAUUUUCUUUGUUGAUCGAACAGACUGUACAUAAUUUGGAUCACUGGCUGAUUAUAUUUGUCUUCAAUUUUGCUAUGGAGCAGAUCUCCAAGAUCAAGGCUUUUUCUUCUGGAUAACCCCCUGUUAUAUUCGUUGAUAAAAUAUAGAUGAAUUGCAUAAUCACCUAUGUAUACAUGUGUUUGAGGCCUCGAUCACUCAAGCUUGAAUGUAUGGUUGGCUCAAAUGAGCCAAACUUGAGCUUGACAACUUUGCUUGAGUUUGAGAAGUAGGCAUCUCUGCAAUGAAACUUUUCUUUCCCAGUGUUACUUUUUA